UAUCUCUUACCCAAGCUUGUUCAGUCUACUCCAAAAGGCAGUGAAGAAUUUGUCCAUCUGCAAGCUGGUUUGUGACUUAGGUCUACACUGAUACCUGACAGCUACAGUCAUGAUGAGGUAUGUUCAAGACUCAAAGAUCUGUAUCCAAAACUGGAAAGUGUUUCUGGGGGCUGGCUGAUUUACAAAGCAGCAGGUGGAUGGGGUUCUCGGAAACUAAAUAUGGUGCCUCCUGAGGACAGUGGAUACACUGGGUCAGUGCUAAAAAAUGCAAGUGCUGGGGGAAAGACCGUCCUAUACAUUGCUCCACUCCAGGAAGAGUUAGACACUCAGCCGCUCCCCCCUGACUCCAGCUCCUUCUCCAAUAUGCCAAAGGCGAUGUGCCAGUCAUGUCAAACCAGCUACCCACUUCAACUCUUAGCGCUGCAUUUUGAAACAUGUCAGCCUUCUGAUACUAAUGCACAGGAGACUUGUAAUGAAGACAUAGAGGACUCACCCCAUCCCACACCACAUAUAGAAGAC